GGAUUUACAUACCAGGAACACACAAAUAAGCCCAGCUGCAAAACAAGCAGCAAAUCCGUACAAUCUUUGCUCAUGCAAAAAACUCCAAAAAAGAAUAGGGUUUUGAACAAAAACUGAAUCUUCAUACCAGAUCUUUGCUUAAUUGAGGAUGUAGUUAUUGUACCUGUAAAGGGGAAAAGAGAACAAAGGCCUUCAGUUCCAUCCAAUAAAUUAUCUUCCGGCUGCUCUUCAAAUUCACUUGACGCUGAUAGAUUAAUUAAAUUUUUACAUUUUUUGAUCAAAAU
rnacentral:lncRNA from 1 species